rnacentral:lncRNA from 1 species
AGUCAUCCACGUGGGGAUGGUGGUGGAAACCACCAUCUUCUCCGGUGAACCAACCAACUCCGGCCACCAGUUGCAGGUUUUUGAACCUCAACCAAAAUGCACGAGCCAGGUACCAAAAUGAAGCUGGGGUGACGUACAUCACCCUUGUAACCUUGGAUUGUCCUCAAGAUCUCUAUCAUGUGAGAAAUCUGAGCUUGAACAUCCAGGUAUGCAAACUGAAAAGCUUAAAAACAUGAAAUCAAGACCACCA